CCUGCUCCCGUCCAUGUCCUUGUGGUGCCUGGUCCAUUAGUAGGGACUCAGAGGAGCCACUGGAGGAGGUUGGACUUGCUUGGUCACAUUCCUCAUCGAACAGCAGAGAAAACGAAGUCCACCGAGCAUUAUUCUCGGUGGCCAAGACAUGGGAGCAACCAAAGUGUCCUGCGAUAGAGGCCUGGAUAAGGAAGAUGUGCUCCAUAUACACAAUGGGGUACUACUCAGCCACAAGAAAGGAUGAAAUAGCGCCAUUUGCAACAACAGGGAGGGACCUUGAGAACGAACAUUAUGCGAAGUGAAACAGUUACAAGAACAAAGAAGGCAAUGGGACCUGGUGAUGUCAGCUGAGAACCGAGGGCUCCCUGCAGGCUGUGCUGAGUAGCAAGCAGCAGAGGAAUUCUGGGAAACAUCUCUAGUGCAGAGGCUAGAACCAUAACAUACACACACAGCACCCAUCCUCUCACAGGCCAAAUGUGUGACGCCCUCUCCACACCUUCUUCCUUACAUCACAUGAGUCCUGCUGAGAGACUCAGCUCAUCCCCCUGUGCUCAGAUCCGACUUCCUUUCCAGGUGAGGAGAAAAGAAUUUCUGAGAGAGGCCAAUUAAAGUUGCCCGGAAGAAGUGAAGUCCCCGGGGAUCUAUGAGAUGCCCACACAGAUGAGAACGUGGGAAUUUGUCCUUUCCUUCUCCUUGUUAGAGUUUAGUUUCUGCCCUGAGGAAUACUAGUUAUUUAUUUCCCAUCCGAGAAAGAAUGAGCUCUCCAAAGAGCUUAACUCUUUUCUAGCUGACAGAGAAGAGGGGGAAAAAACCCACCUAGUUUAAACAAAAUAAAA